AAAAAUUAAAAUAGACUUUUCAUUACAUAUUAACUAACUCAAUAGAUGGCGCUAAGAACCUCCAAUUAUUUAUCACCUUGAAUGACAUUAGCAGAUACAAAAUGAACAAGAUGGGCCACUUCUUAUAAAAUUUUUACCUGCUGUUGGCCACUGGGUUUGAACAGCAUUAGGAUAAUACAACUCCAGAAACCGUAAUGAAGGAGGAAGUAUAAGUCGUCUAACUAUGAGAACAGCACUUGUUGGUUUAAUACUCCUUACAAAUUCGUCUACAUCAAUAUCAGACUCAUUGGAUGUUAAUUUUAAAAGUUGGCUUGUUAAAUAAACAUAUGAUCCCUUA